rnacentral:rRNA from 1 species
UUCCCCGAAAACUAUUUAGGUAGUGCGUCAUGUAUCACUUGCGGGGGUAAAGCACUGUUAUGGCUAGGGGGUCAUCGCGACUUACCAAACCAUGGCAAACUCUGAAUACCGCAAAGUGCGAGCAUGGCAGACAGACAGUGGGUGCUAACGUCCAUUGUCAAGAGGGAAACAACCCAGACCGCCAGCUAAGGUCCCCAAGACACAGUUAAGUGGGAAACGAAGUGGGAAGGCAUAGACAGCUAGGAGGUUGGCUUAGAAGCAGCCAUCCUUUAAAGAAAGCGUAAUAGCUCACUAGUCGAGUCGUCCUGCGCGGAAGAUGUAACGGGGCUCAAACUGUGCACCGAAGCUGCGGAUAUCGAAAGAUAUGGUAGGGGAGCGUUCUGUAGGUCUGUGAAGGUGUCUUGUAAAGGAUGCUGGAGAUAUCAGAAGUGCGAAUGCUGACAUGAGUAGCGAUAAAGGGCGUGAAAAGCGCCCUCGCCGAAAGCCCAAGGUUUCCUACGCAACGUUCAUCGGCGUAGGGUGAGUCGGCUCCUAAGGCGAGGCAGAAAUGCGUAGUCGAUGGGAAACAGGUCAAUAUUCCUGUACCGAUUCUAGAUGCGAUGUGGGGACGGAGAAGGUUAGGUCAGCCGGGUGUUGGACGUCCCGGUUUAAGCGUGUAGGCGUGCCCCUUAGGCAAAUCCGGGGGGCUGAGCUGAGGCGUGAUGACGAGGAACCACGGUUCCGAAGUGAUUGAUACCAAGCUUCCAGGAAAAGCCACUAAGCUUCAGUCUAGAGUUGACCGUACCGCAAACCGACACAGGUGGGCAGGAUGAAAAUUCUAAGGCGCUUGAGAGAACUCAGGAGAAGGAACUCGGCAAAUUAACACCGUAACUUCGGGAGAAGGUGUGCCCCGGUAGCGUGUAGAGACUUGCUCUCGAAGCGCGAUGGGGUUGCAGUGAAAUGGUGGCUGCGACUGUUUAAUAAAAACACAGCACUCUGCAAACACGAAAGUGGACGUAUAGGGUGUGACGCCUGCCCGGUGCCGGAAGGUUAAGUGGUGGGGUGCAAGCUCUUGAUCGAAGCCCCGGUAAACGGCGGCCGUAACGAUAACGGUCCUAAGGUAGCGAAAUUCCUUGUCGGGUAAGUUCCGACCUGCACGAAUGGCGUAACGAUGGCCACACUGUCUCCUCCUGGGACUCAGCGAAGUUGAAAUGUUUGUGAAGAUGCAAUCUACCCGCGGCUAGACGGAAAGACCCCAUGAACCUUUACUGUAGCUCUGCAUUGGACUUUGAACCGGUUUGAAAAAAAAG